rnacentral:rRNA from 1 species
CUUAGGACGAACGCUGGCGGCGUGCCUAACACAUGCAAGUCGAGCGGAGUUGACAAGAGGAAGUUUCGGAUGGAAUUUGUAAUUAGCGGCGGACGGGUGAGUAACGCGUGAGCGACCAACCUUGCACAGGGGGAUAACGGACCGAAAGGUUCACUAAUACCGCAUGAGACCACGGUGUUGCAUGACACAGGGGUCAAAGGAGCAAUCCGGUGCAAGACGGGCUCGCGUCCGAUUAGGUAGUUGAGGGGUAACGGCCCACCAAGCCUAUGAUCGGUAGCCGACCUGAGAGGGUGAUCGGCCACAUUGGAACUGAGAUACGGUCCAAACUCCUACGGGAGGCAGCAGUGGGGAAUAUUGGGCCAAUGGGGGAAACCCUGACCCAGCAACGCCGCGUGAAGGAAGAAGGUUUUCGGAUUGUAAACUUCUGUCCUUGGUGAAGAGAAGAAGACGGUAGCCAAGGAGGAAGCCCCGGCUAACUACGUGCCAGCCGCCGC